rnacentral:rRNA from 1 species
CAUGAAAUGAGCAACUUGGGUCGAGCAAGGAGAGGAGCAGAAGAGACGAUAGGGUUCUUGUCUUGGUCGGUGGGUGGAGAGAGAGAGAGGGGUUCUUGUCUCGUACCGGCGGCGGCGGAACUAGACGGGGCAGGCCCGUAGAGGCCGCUGUGCCACCUGUGGAUGUCUAAGAGGAGCAGAGGGAGAUGGUAAAGGGGGAUAAAUAAAAUAGGCGGCGGCGGUUUUUGCGGCGGUGGUGAGUUAGGAUCGCGGCGGACUAAGUCCAGGCCACCCGAACGGUGGCCGACGUCGCCGUUGCUGCAGAGGUACGGAUGUAGGAGGGGGUCGCGUCGGUGUGUGUGCUCCGCACGUCGGUGCCCGCAGCCCGCACACGCCGAAGUGGCCGCGAUGAGCCAGCGUACCGAGACGACGAUUGCCACACCUGAUCGGUGUAGGAUGACGAUGAUGACGUUCUAUUUAUCUAGUUCCACUUAUCUACGAGUACCUGACUAAGUUUGGCUCCACUUCUAUCUAUUCUUCAGUUCGUUCUUCCCGAUUGUGUUGUUCCAUGAACUAAUCAUGGACUACCGCGUACGUUGGGUUUCCCGAAGUGGCGUCACUUCCUGUCGUCAACACCGUCUUCCACUUUUCCGUUCACCACCACCAUGAGGUCACAUACACACACACACUCCACCUUACCUGGUGUCACUUUCCUUACCGAGGAUAAAUAUCACCCCAAUCAUCGAUACAGCCAAACCUCUCCGUAAUGUAGACCGUACGUACGCACCAAUCCGAACGUACGUACGGAGGUGAACACAGAGAACAUCCGACAUGAUCCCUGUUCACAUUAAACGAACUGACCGGUAAUCAACCGUAAAUGAAAUACACCUUUUUUUUACUCUGGUUCUAGACU